rnacentral:rRNA from 1 species
UACAGAGGUCUCAAGCGUUGUUCGGAUUCAUUGGGCGUAAAGGGUGUGUAGGUGGCGCCGUAAGUCGGGUGUGAAAUUUCGGAGCUUAACUCCGAAACUGCAUUCGAUACUGCGGUGCUUGAGGACUGGAGAGGAGACUGGAAUUCAUGGUGUAGCAGUGAAAUGCGUAGAGAUCGUGAGGAAGACCAGUGGCGAAGGCGGGUCUCUGGACAGUUCCUGACACUGAGACACGAAGGCCAGGGGAGCAAACGGG